rnacentral:misc_RNA from 1 species
AAGAGUAAGGGUGCUCAGCGCCCGACCUCCAACCCUCUGUUGUUAAAACUACCUUGUUGCUUUGGCGGGACCGCUCGGUCUCGAGCCGCCGGGGAUUCGUCCCAGGCGAGCGCCCGCCAGAGUUAAACCAAACUCUUGUUAAUCAUAACCGGUCGUCUGAGUAAAAAUUUUGAAUAAAUCA